ensembl:processed_transcript C430002N11Rik RIKEN cDNA C430002N11 gene
AAGCUAGUAAGCAACACUCCCCAACAGCCUCUGCUUCAGCUCCUGCCUCCAGGCUUCUGCCUUGAGCUCCUGAUCUGGCUUUUCUCAGUGAUGGACUGUAACUGAUCUGAGGCGACCCCUGAGGAAGAAUUGUUUGACCAUCCCAAAGGGAUCAAGGCUCACAGGUUGAGAACCGCUGCUCCAGCCCCUUCGGCUGUUUUUAUUGCAGGCAUUGAAUGAGCUUCGGCUUGGAUGUCAGACUCCCGUUCCACUUCAUAUGUCAGCAUGUCAGUCAUUCGAGGAGUGUCUACAAGCAAGUGACAGAAGGAGGUUCAGCCCUAACUUAUCUAACCCUCUUCAGGCUGAAGACAAAAAGAUAAGACUAAGUAGGAACAUGCUGCGUAAAACAUUGUGGGAUUAGUGAGCAUCUGGGCAUCUUAAAUUUUGACUGGCAAUUGACUCUAACUUCAACAGACGAAGACCCACCCUUCAUCCAGCUCUCCAGGAAUAACAGUAAUUGGAGGUAGAAUAAAGCAUUAGUCACAGACAGCUCCUGCUUAGGCUCUGAAACCUGUAAGGCAUCUGGAGAAUGCUGGAGUCUGGCUUCCUUGAACUGAGAACAUCAAAGGCAAUGAGAAAGACUGAGAGGCAUAAGGAUUGUUUUUCCUUUCAACUACUAAGAUGGCCGGCAGUUCAGUAAACUAAGCAUCAUUCAAGAAGGAUGGAGUGCAUUCGAAGAACUGGUACCCAUGAUGACUGGGGUCCUGCAAACCACAGGACAUUGACCCUGCCUGAAAGGUGGCUUGUUGCCAUGUGAAGAAAAGACAUUUAACUACCUAGAAGAUGGAGACAGCGGCAUCAAGAAGCAUGGUGACUCAUCUGAAGUCACUCAUCGGAAGACUCCAUGGGCUCUGACUCAUAAGGCCUUCCCGCAAGAGUCCUCUCUGGGCAAGGAUGUGUGAUCGCCAAGCAGAUGAGCAGUCUCCUGACCAGGCUGGGGCCUCUUGAGAUUUUUCUCUGGAUACCCACACUCAUAAAAGAAAGAACC